UUCUGGUGCAGUGAGUCUGAAGACUGCUACAAUGUUACAAUGUACUUAGAUACAGAAAGGAAGUAGAUAACUCUCUUCUUUUUUCUUUCUUUUUUUUUUUUCUUUUUUAAAGGAAACUCUCUUUCCUCUGAAAUUGGUACUCUCCUCUGACCCCCUACCACACUGCUGAUUGUCUGUGGUGUUAAUGACUCUUUUAUCAAAUCUCUUACCCCCAACAGCAGUCUUGCCUCACUGUCCCCCUUCAGCCUCAGACCUGGAAACUCUCACGGUCCACCUUACUUUUUUGAGGCAGUGUCUCUCACUAGCCCAAAGUUGGCCAAGUAGGAGCUCAGUGGGGCCAGCAAGCACCAGGAUCUGCCUGUCUUCCUCUCCUCAGGACUCUGCAUUUUCAAAAUCAACCUCUGGUCCUUGUGCUUGCAAAGUGGGCACUUUGUAAGUUGAGUCAUCACCCCAGACCGCCCCAUAUUUGGUUUGGGGCUUGAUCUUAAUGCUUCCAGCCAAGGUUCCUUCAGUGUGAACAAACCAGUUCUAAAGUUCCUCUGGCAAAAACUCGAUUUUCAUUUUUCUGAGAAUGCCUUUAUUUCUCUCUGGUUUUAGCCGUGUGACAUAACCAUAGCCUGUUAUUACUUUCUUUUGAUUUUAAGGAAUUAUUGUACAAUUAUGAGGGCUUUGUCUGUGUGCACCUAUGUGCACUGUGCGUGUUCAGUGCCCACGGAGGCCAGAGAAGGGCAUCGGACCCCCUGAAACUGGAGUUGGCAAAUGGUGGUAGCUGCUGCACCGCUACUGAUCAAACCCAAGCUUUCUACAAGAGCAGCCAGGGCUCUGAACUGCUGAGCCAUCUCUGAAGCCCCUCUCUUGAUCUUUAAGACAUUCUCUGCCUUCUGCUCUUCUGGCUUAGAAAUCCAAAGAAAGUAUUUCAUUUCUCAGUUGGUGAUCUGCCCUCCAUUGCUGUUUGAUUAUCGCCUAGGGGUGGAACAGAUUCUGCAAGUGGGUUUCCGGAGCUAACAGGAAAGGCCACACUGUUCUGGUGACACCCAGACAGGACACCCAGCUGGUGGCUGAGCACAUCUGUGUGCUGUACCCUGGGGUGUAGGCUUGGGGCCUUGGCAGGCCCUCUUCUGGGCCAUCUACUUGAGCUGAAGGGGAAGUCAGUGACAGACCCGUGGUUUCUGUGGUCAUGAUUCUUUUGCCUAAUGUAAACUGGGGAUCCUGUGUUGGGAAGCCUCAAGAGGCCCUUACAUUGUAGCAGUAGGGCCAGCAGGAUGGCUCAGUGGGUAAAGGUGCUUGCAACCAAAACUAGUGACUUGAGUUUGAUCCCUGGGACCCAUGUGGUAGAAGGAAACAACCAAUAAUCUCUGACUAAACUAACUCUCUCUUUCUCUCUCUCUCUCUCUCUCUCUCUCACACACACACACACACACACACGUGCAAGCACACACAUUUCUUCCCCAUAAUGAAUAUGUGUUAAAUGGAACAAAAUAUUAACAAUGUUUAUAUGUUGUAUAACAAUGUAUAUAAAAAUAUAAAUACUGUUAUAUUUUAAAU
rnacentral:lncRNA from 1 species